rnacentral:rRNA from 2 species
UUCGCAAUGCCCGAAAGGGUGACGAAGCGACGCCGCGUGGGUGAGGAAGGCCUUCGGGUUGUAAAGCCCUGUCAGGAGUUAAGGAAUGUAGGCUCGCUAAUAUCGGGUCUAUUUGACAAAGGCUCCAAAGGAAGCCACGGCUAACUCUGUGCCAGCAGCCGCGGUAAUACAGAGGUGGCAAGCGUUGUUCGGAAUUAUUGGGCGUAAAGAGCACGUAGGUGGAUUUGUAAGUCAGACGUGAAAGCCUUCUGUUCAACGGAAGAAUUGCAUCUGAAACUACAAACCUUGAGUGUAGGAGGGGAGAAUGGAACUUCUGGUGGAGCGGUGAAAUGCGUAGAUAUCAGAAGGAACGCCGGCGGCGAAAGCGAUUCUCUGGCCUAUUACUGACACUCAGUGUGCGAAAGCUAGGGGAGCAAACGGGAUUAGAUACCCCGGUAGUCCUAGCCGUAAACGAUGGGCACUAAGUAGAGGGGUUUU